GACGAACGCUGGCGGCGUGCUUAACACAUGCCAGUCGAACGCUGAAGCUUGGUGCUUGCACUGGGUGGAUGAGUGGCGAACGGGUGAGUAAUAAGUGAGUAACCUGCCCUUGACUCUGGGAUAAGCCUGGGAAACUGGGUCUAAUACUGGAUACGACAUGUCACCGCAUGGUGGUGUGUGGAAAGGGUUUUACUGGUUUUGGAUGGGCUCACGGCCUAUCAGCUUGUUGGUGGGGUAAUGGCUCACCAAGGCGACGACGGGUAGCCGGCCUGAGAGGGUGACCGGCCACACUGGGACUGAGACACGGCCCAGACUCCUACGGGAGGCAGCAGUGGGGAAUAUUGCACAAUGGGCGGAAGCCUGAUGCAGCGACGCCGCGUGAGGGAUGACGGCCUUCGGGUUGUAAACCUCUUUCAGCACGGAAGAAGCGAAAGUGACGGUACGUGCAGAAGCAGCGCCGGCUAACUACGUG
rnacentral:rRNA from 1 species